AAUCCAUGAUGAGGACAUCUUCUCAAAAGAACUUUUAAUCUCUCCCAUGCAUCAUAUAAUGUCUCCAAAUCCAUUUGAGAAAAAGAAGAGAUAUCAUUCUUCAACUU
rfam:Gossypium raimondii Chr02_contig_415, whole genome shotgun sequence.